rnacentral:rRNA from 1 species
CAGUAGCCGCGGUAAUACAGAGGGUGCGAGCGUUAAUCGGAUUUACUGGGCGUAAAGCGUGCGUAGGCGGCUUUUUAAGUCGGAUGUGAAAUCCCUGAGCUUAACUUAGGAAUUGCAUUCGAUACUGGGAAGCUAGAGUAUGGGAGAGGAUGGUAGAAUUCCAGGUGUAGCGGUGAAAUGCGUAGAGAUCUGGAGAAAUACCGAUGGCGAAGGCAGCCAUCUGGCCUAAUACUGACGCUGAGGUACGAAAGCAUGGGGAGCAAACAGGAUUAGAUACCCGCGUAGUCCCUGUCUCUUAUAC